ensembl:lncRNA
CCUCCAUUUCCUCCACACUCCUGGACAGGCUGAGUACUGGACAGUGCUGGGGCAGUGAUGGGCACAGUGGGUGCACCCAGCCCCAUGAGAGCCGCCCUCCUCUCUGAGACCCUAGCCCUGAGUGAAGAGCCAGGCUAGGGGCAGGAGAGGCCCUGGCCUUCAGGUGGGAGAGAGUCUCCGGGAAUCAAAGCUUCCCAUCUGAGCGGCAAAGGGGCCUCCGCACGGUGCUGAGUUGCAGCCUGCUACCAAGGGAACAAAAAGAAAUUUUACCUGUUAUCUUCCUUUAUUUGUGGCCGCGCUGGAUCGUCACUGCUGCGUGGUCUUCACUGCGGCGAGAAUGGGCUACUCUGUCAUGGCGUGCGGGCUUCUCCUUGCGGUGGCUUCCCUUAUUGCACAGCACAGGCUCUAAGGGAUGCGGGCUUCAUACCUUAGCUGCAGCAUGUGGACUCAGCAGUUGCGGUGCAUGGGGCUUAGUUGCUCUGCAGCAUGUGAGAUCUUCCCAGACCAGGGAUCCAAUUCGUGUCCCCUGCAUUGGCAGGUCAAGUCUUAACCACUGGACCGUCCCCCUCAUAUUGCUAAUGUACACAAAAUAAAUAUUUCAUCUCACCUAUUUACUGUAUUUUUGGCAUUUAUCCAUCCUGAGUUUACACCCCAUUUCAGUCUUCCCCGACACGGGUUCACACGGGUCAUGGAAUUUUUCUCUGUGUCUCCAGGAGGCAAAGCUACUUGUGUCCUUGUAGCCAUCAUUGCCAAAACAAAAAAAACCUCACUUUAUACAUUUCAUAAAAAUGAGUGGCCUGACUUGGAAAUAUUGUGGAACCGGCUCCUUGGGGACAUGGAUUGCACACUGCCAUGAUGCUGUUGAGGCAGCAGGCAUGGGGUGAAGGCUCAACAAACAGGCCUGGAUGAUUGUUAUUGCUGCUGUUCAUGGGGGUUGGUAUAGCUGAUAAUUCCUAAUCUUUUCCUCCUUCACAUCACAGGUUACAGGGUCACUUCUCAAAGUUACUAAUUGGCACUAAAUGGUAAGAAGCCAGUUGUGAGAAUGAGGCAAGUUAUCUGUCCUUGCGCUGGAGAGAUGGUUACCGUGGCAGUCGGCCUGCAAGAUGGUCUCCAGACGAUUUCCACCCUCUUCAGCCCUUCCCACAAUGAAGAGGGCUGCCCCCGCGGGGCCAAGAGGACAGUGUGGAAAGGACCACACGUGCAUUCCAAGGCACCAGGGUUUCAGUCUCGCUGGCAUCCAUCUAGGGGAAGCCAUAUACUGAGGAAACUCAAGCAGCUCUGUGGAGGACUCCAUGGGGCAAGAAACCAAGGCCUCCUGCCAACAGCCAGCCAGUGAGCACUCCAUCUUGGAAGCCGGAAGCCAAUCCCGCAGCCCCAGUCAGAUGAGAGCAGCCCCAGCUGAUGUUUGGACUGCAACUUCAGUGGAGACCACAAACUGGGACCAGCCAGUUACGUUGUUGUGCAGUUGCUGAGUCAUGUCUGACUCUUUGCAAACCCAUGGACUGCAGCACGGCAGGCUUCCCCUGCCCUUCACUAUCUCCCAGAGUUUGCUCAAAUCAUGUCCAUUGAAUUGGUGAUGCCAUCCAACCAUUUCAUCCUCUGUCACCCCCUUCUCCUCCCGCCCAGUUACGGCACUUCUGAAUUCCUGAGCCACAGACCCUUUGAGAUAAUAAAUACCUAUUGUUCUGAAGCGCUAAGUUAGGAGUGAUUUGUUACACAGCAGUAGGUAACUGAUACGGAAACAGAGAGACCUUUAGUUAUGAGGCUGUUCCCAAAGUAUGUUCCUUGGAAU